rnacentral:rRNA from 1 species
UACGAGAGGCGCAAACGUUAUUCGGAAUUACUGGGCUUAAAGAGUUCGUAGGCGGCGCAGAAAGUAGGGUGUGAAAGCCCUCGGCUCAACCGAGGAAUUGCGCUCUAAACUACUGUGCUUGAGGGACCUAGAGGUGAGCGGAACUGAUGGUGGAGCGGUGAAAUGCGUUGAUAUCAUCAGGAACACCGGAGGCGAAGGCGGCUCACUGGGGGUCUUCUGACGCUGAGGAACGAAAGCCGGGGGAGCAAACGGG